rnacentral:rRNA from 1 species
CCUACGGGGGGCAGCAGUGAGGAAUAUUGGUCAAUGGGCGCUAGCCUGAACCAGCCACGCAGCGUGAAGGAUGACUGCCCUCUGGGUUGUAAACUUCUUUUAUAUGGGACUAAAGUGCAGUAUGUAUACUGCUUUGCAUGUACCUUAUGCAUAAGGAUCGGCUAACUCCGUGCCAGCAGCCGCGGUAAUACGGAGGAUCCGGGCGUUAUCCGGGUUUGUUGGGGUUAAAGGGAGGGGAGGGGGGUUGUUAAGGCAGUGGUGAAAGUUUGCGGCUCAAACGUAAGAUUGCAGUUGAUACUGGGAUCCUUGAGUACAGUAGAGGUAGGCGGAAUUCGUGGUGUAGCGGUGAAAUGCUUAGAUAUCACGAAGAACUCCGAUUGCGAAGGCAGCCUGCUGGACUGUAACUGACGCUGAUGCUCGAAAGUGUGGGUAUCAAACAGGAUUAGAUACCCUGGUAGUC